GAUUAUGCCUUAAACCAAAUGCAUAUGGUUUGAUGAUUUAUUCUUCUCAAUGUGCACUAUUAUUCUUAGCAAUUAAUUUCUGUAGGAGUUUUUUCUGGAACUCCUAAGAGGGACUGUAAUUUUUGCAUUUAGCCUUUCAAUAUAUCUAUGAAAAGCAUCUCUGCCUUUCAUUUGGAAAGAGAAAAAAGAAAACAGAGAAAUUUGCUCUUGCCUGCCCUGAUUUGUGCUGUGGGGUUUAGUUUGCAUUUUUAUACUUUUUGAUUGGUCUUCAUUGAUCAGAGUUCGAUCUUAGACUACAUCACUUCAUAGUUCAUCAUCAUUUUUUAAAGAAAAGUAAGUUUAUUGUUAUUUUUUAUUUAUUUCAUUAUGCUUAGACUCUUGAAAGGCCUAUGAUACUGUAAUUAGGCUUACUUUUCUUUACAUCAAGUACAACAUAAAAAAUGCCCUGCUCUCCUGGUGCUCAUUUGCUCUUGCCUGCCCUUAUUAUUUGUAUGCAUUUGCAUAUAAAAUUGACGUAGUUGUCUUUAAAACUGAACUGAGUUCAACAGAAUUCUCUUUUACUGGUUUUUUUGAAUGCAGUAUCAUUAUUGCAGAGAAUAAGAUGAAGUCGGGAGUGAUUUUUGAGGGAAGAGCACUGUGGCCUGUGCCUUGAGUCAAAGCUUAUACAAAAUAGGAAAGUUAGCUUAUAUCCUCGAUGGGGACAAUGUGAGGCAUGACCUGAAUCGCGACCUUGGUUUUAAAGCAGAAGAUCGUGCUGAGAAUAUAAGGAGGGUGAGGUUGCAAAAUUGUUUGCAAACGCUGGAGUUAUUUGCAUUGCUAGUGUGAUAUCUCCAUAUCGAAGGGAUCGAGAUGCCCGUCGUGCCAUUUUGUCUGAUGGAUACUUUAUUGAGGUGUUCAUGGAUGUUCCUCUUGAAGUUUGUGAAGCAAGAGAUGCAAAAGGACUGUAUAAGCUUGCAUGGGCAAGGAAGAUCAAAGGUCACUGCAACUUGUUAUCAUCUUCCUUAGAUUUACUUGAUGAUCUCUUCAAACUUUUAUAGGCUUUACUGGUAUCGAUGAUCUGUACAAAGUACCAUUGAAUUGUGAGGUAAUUCCAAAUUCUGGAGGAAAAUGACAAAAUUUCUUUGAACAUUCUUUCAAUAGAUUAAUGCUUAUACUACAUUGAGAGUAAAUGUUUUUGCAACAUAUGCUGAUGGUUAGUUAAAUAGUGAAGAACUUGUGGACAUAACAUAGUUGAACAUUGUGUUUUGAACCUGAUUGGGAGACCCUUUGAACUUUCUGUGUGUACUGUAUGUGGUGUAAAUGAAAGUCAAUGAUUUUGGCUGUUAAUUCCUCCUUUUUCAGGGGACCCUUUAUUUCUCCUAUGAGUCCCCACAGGCUAUAGAAUUGCUUACUACUAUGCUUGACAUGUUUGUUUGCAAUAAUGGAGAUGAUAGAAAUC